rnacentral:rRNA from 1 species
GAUGAACGCUGGCGGCGUGCCUAAUACAUGCAAGUCGAGCGAACGGACGAGAAGCUUGCUUCUCUGAUGUUAGCGGCGGACGGGUGAGUAACACGUGGAUAACCUACCUAUAAGACUGGGAUAACUUCGGGAAACCGGAGCUAAUACCGGAUAAUAUUUUGAACCGCAUGGUUCAAAAGUGAAAGACGGUCUUGCUGUCACUUAUAGAUGGAUCCGCGCUGCAUUAGCUAGUUGGUAAGGUAACGGCUUACCAAGGCAACGAUGCAUAGCCGACCUGAGAGGGUGAUCGGCCACACUGGAACUGAGGCACGGUCCAGACUCCUACGGGAGGCAGCAGUAGGGAAUCUUCCGCAAUGGGCGAAAGCCUGACGGAGCAACGCCGCGUGAGUGAUGAAGGUCUUCGGAUCGUAAAACUCUGUUAUUAGGGAAGAACAUAUGUGUAAGUAACUGUGCACAUCUUGACGGUACCUAAUCAGAAAGCCACGGCUAACUACGUGCCAGCAGCCGCGGUAAUACGUAGGUGGCAAGCGUUAUCCGGAAUUAUUGGGCGUAAAGCGCGCGUAGGCGGUUUUUUAAGUCUGAUGUGAAAGCCCACGGCUCAACCGUGGAGGGUCAUUGGAAACUGGAAAACUUGAGUGCAGAAGAGGAAAGUGGAAUUCCAUGUGUAGCGGUGAAAUGCGCAGAGAUAUGGAGGAACACCAGUGGCGAAGGCGACUUUCUGGUCUGUAACUGACGCUGAUGUGCGAAAGCGUGGGGAUCAAACAGGAUUAGAUACCCUGGUAGUCCACGCCGUAAACGAUGAGUGCUAAGUGUUAGGGGGUUUCCGCCCCUUAGUGCUGCAGCUAACGCAUUAAGCACUCCGCCUGGGGAGUACGACCGCAAGGUUGAAACUCAAAGGAAUUGACGGGGACCCGCACAAGCGGUGGAGCAUGUGGUUUAAUUCGAAGCAACGCGAAGAACCUUACCAAAUCUUGACAUCCUUUGACAACUCUAGAGAUAGAGCCUUCCCCUUCGGGGGACAAAGUGACAGGUGGUGCAUGGUUGUCGUCAGCUCGUGUCGUGAGAUGUUGGGUUAAGUCCCGCAACGAGCGCAACCCUUAAGCUUAGUUGCCAUCAUUAAGUUGGGCACUCUAAGUUGACUGCCGGUGACAAACCGGAGGAAGGUGGGGAUGACGUCAAAUCAUCAUGCCCCUUAUGAUUUGGGCUACACACGUGCUACAAUGGACAAUACAAAGGGCAGCGAAACCGCGAGGUCAAGCAAAUCCCAUAAAGUUGUUCUCAGUUCGGAUUGUAGUCUGCAACUCGACUACAUGAAGCUGGAAUCGCUAGUAAUCGUAGAUCAGCAUGCUACGGUGAAUACGUUCCCGGGUCU